GACGAACGCUGGCGGCGUGCCUAAUACAUGCAAGUAGAACGCUGAAGAGAGGAGCUUGCUCUUCUUGGAUGAGUUGCGAACGGGUGAGUAACGCGUAGGUAACCUGCCUUGUAGCGGGGGAUAACUAUUGGAAACGAUAGCUAAUACCGCAUAACAAUAGGUGACACAUGUCAUUUAUUUGAAAGGGGCAAUUGCUCCACUACAAGAUGGACCUGCGUUGUAUUAGCUAGUAGGUGAGGUAACGGCUCACCUAGGCGACGAUACAUAGCCGACCUGAGAGGGUGAUCGGCCACACUGGGACUGAGACACGGCCCAGACUCCUACGGGAGGCAGCAGUAGGGAAUCUUCGGCAAUGGGGGCAACCCUGACCGAGCAACGCCGCGUGAGUGAAGAAGGGUUUCGGAUCGUAAAGCUCGGUUGUAAGUCAAGAACGAGUGUGAGAGUGGAAAGUUCACACUGUGACGGUAGCUUACCAGAAAGGGACGGCUAACUACGUG
rnacentral:rRNA from 1 species